ACAUGUAACUUCCUUCACAGAUUUGCUGCUACUGGUUGAGGUCAUGCACAAAGUCCUGGUGUAGUGCUUGGAAGCUAGCAAACUUGUGCUCAGUCCCCUGUUCCUUACUGUUGGGCUAAGACAUGUCACACUGGCGAUCACCUUCUCGUCUUGUUGCUAUGAAAGCAAGAACCUGGGAAGCAUCCAGACGCCCAGCGGAGGAUGAUGAAAUGCCAUGGAGGACCUGUCCCAGGCAUGGGCUGGAGCGUCUCUGUUUCUGAGCUGAUCUUUAAGUGUGGACUACAGGUGUGGGGUUUGCUGGAGUCCAGGUUCACAUCUGCCCACCACUGUCCAGAUGCUCCUAUGUAAGGAACGCUCCUGCCCCUGAUCUUUGUGGUACACCCCAGCUUCCUCCUUCUAUGCCUGGCUUCAGGGCCCCUGAUCUCCACUUACUGCUUGUUCAUUAAGCUGGUGAUCUGUUAUGCGUGCUGAUGGCCACUAAGAGGCCAGUCUGACUCCUUAGCAGUGAAGUGUCCCAGUCUUACUGUUUCUGGGAACCAUGUCCACUGUGAAGGAGAUCUGCAGGGAAGCCUGGAUUCCUGUUCUGUCACCUCAGGACUGGUAGCUCUUAACACAGUGAUGGCAUCCAGUUGGUACAUAAUAAAUGGCACUUGAACUAA